CCUACGGGAGGCAGCAGUAGGGAAUAUUGCUCAAUGGGGGAAACCCUGAAGCAGCAACGCCGCGUGGAGGAUGACGGUUUUAUGAUUGUAAACUCCUUUUGUUAGAGAAGAUAAUGCCGGUCUCUUCCGACUAAUCACCGGCGAACUCAGUGCCAGACGCCGCGGUACUACGGAGGGUGCACGCGUUACUCGGAAUCACUGGGCGUAAAGGGUGGUGAGGCGGGCUUGUAAGUCAGGUGCGAAAUCCUGUAGCUUAACUACAGAACUGCAUUUGAAACUAGGGGUCUAGAGUGUGGGAGAGGUAGGUGGAAUUCUUGGUGUAGGGGUAAAAUCCGUAGAUAUAAGGAAGAACACCAGUGGCGAAGGCAGAAUACUGGAGGAUAACUGACGGUGAGGCGCGAAAGCGUGGGGAGCAAACAGGAUUAGAUACCCGUGUAGUC
rnacentral:rRNA from 1 species